rnacentral:rRNA from 1 species
UACGUAGGGUGCAAGCGUUAAUCGGAAUUACUGGGCGUAAAGCGUGCGCAGGCGGUUAUGUAAGACCGAUGUGAAAUGCCCGGGCUUAACCUGGGAACUGCAUUUGUGACUGCAUGGCUAGAGUUUGGCAGAGGGGGGUAGAAUUCCACGUGUAGCAGUGAAAUGCGUAGAUAUCAGGAGGAACAUCGAUGGCGAAGGCAGCCCCUUGGACCUGUACUGACGCUCAUGCACGAAAGCGUGGGGAGCAAACAGG